CUAUAUUAGACUUUUCAAGGACAUCCCAAGAGUACUCAAAAAAAUUGCAAUGCUUGGGCAACCCUCGUGGGCUGCCAACUGGGUGUGCCAGCCAUCCUGGAGUAGAUUAAUGCUUUAUCACCGGUACCAAUUUGAGUUGCUCACAUGCCCUCACACUGCCCUAGUCUUCAUAUCUCCUAAUUCAUCCCAACUGUCUUCACACAUGAAGAAUUCCAACGUGAUGGCAGCAUUAUGGCAUGACAGAUAGACCAGAGCCAUUACGGUUUUCCUGUAUGAAUCCCCUUUAAUGCCUACACAAGCUAGCCAUCACCUAACGAAUUAUUACAAGCAUCUAAUUUAUAUCACCAUCAUUAAUAUGACAGAGAAUUA